rnacentral:rRNA from 1 species
UACAGAGGGUGCGAGCGUUGUUCGGAAUUACUGGGCGUAAAGCGCGUGUAGGCGGCAAGCCAAGUCGGGUGUGAAAGCCCUGGGCUCAACCCAGGAAGUGCAUUCGAUACUGGCAAGCUAGAGUCCCGGAGAGGAUGGUGGAACUCUCGGUGUAGAGGUGAAAUUCGUAGAUAUCGAGAAGAACACCGGUGGCGAAGGCGGCCAUCUGGACGGUGACUGACGCUGAGACGCGAAAGCGUGGGGAGCAAACAGG